rnacentral:rRNA from 1 species
UACGUAGGGGGCAAGCGUUGUCCGGAUUUAUUGGGCGUAAAGAGCGUGUAGGCGGCUUUACAGGUCCGUUGUGAAAACUCGAGGCUCAACCUCGAGACGCCGGUGGAAACCGUAAAGCUAGAGUCCGGAAGAGGAGAGUGGAAUUCCUGGUGUAGCGGUGAAAUGCGCAGAUAUCAGGAGGAACACCCGUGGCGAAAGCGGCUCUCUGGGCCGUAACUGACGCUGAGGAGCGAAAGCGUGGGGAGCGAACAGG